UUUUCCUUUUUUGGAGCCUGAUUUUUAUGUCCAAGUUGGGUGUGACAAACAAAUUCAUUAUUUAAUAUUUUUUCUUUAUCUGCUUAUUCCUGUUCAGAGACUACAACAGUCUGGAGCCUUUCCAAGCACUGGAUGGAAGGCUGAGGAUAAAUUGGAAUUCUAAAAGAAGGAAAUCUCAAGGACGAGAGAAGUUCAGGAAACCAGGCAUGGUGAAAUCUUCAGCUGCUAAGCUGUCUGUCUUCAAGCCUCCAGCCCGCUGCUCACAUGGCUGCCUCUGACAACCCAACAGACUAAAACAUUCGCUUCUGCUCUGUCUGACGAGUGUUUUCAGAUGGAGCAUUUUGCCAAACUUUGAUGUGUAGAUGUACUGUAAGAACUGUUUCCUGUUACUUCAGUGUCAGGCACAUAUAUUGACUUUGUGGGGCGACUGAAUUGCUCUACCAGCACUGUAUAGAUAGAUACCCCAACCCUGGGAUUGCUGCCAUAGUUGGGAUAGAAAACUGAUGAAGAAAAUCAAUACAGCAAAGAGGAAGAGAGAAGAGCAGGGACUGCAGUCUUGCAGUAAAAAGGUAGCUUGUCUUUAAAAAGUCAGGUCUAUUUUUGCCUAAGCGUUGAAGUGCUGAGUGGGGUGGGUGAUGGCGUGAUGGCGUGAAGGGUAAGGAUAAACCUCAGCUCCCAUUUGUCAUACACCACUUACACAGUACAGGGUUCUGUCUACUGUGAAAACAGAUGAGCUAACACCUUGUUCAGAUCACAUCAGCUUUGUCAGAUAGGAAAUCUUUGAAGAGGAAAUGUUAAAGAUCCAAAGUGACAAAGUUGGCAGACACAGUGAGGUACACUAAAAAAACCAACUUAACUGGGAAAAUAUAGCUGGAUGUAUAACCUGCUGGAUGUAUAACCUUUGAUUAAAUUAGCAUCAUAAAUACAGUUACCCAGGACCACUAAAGUUACCUGAAAGUAAUAACAUUCCAAAAUGUAGUCUUAUUUUCAUCCCUUGUGACUGUAGUGUUUGCCACCCUAUUAUAUCUCUUUCACAGCAUAAAUGUUGGCUUGUUAUAUCCACCCAUUAUAUUAAUUUAACUGUCCAAAACAAUUCCAUGGUUCACUCAUUUAAUACACCCUAUACAAUACACACUCUCAGUAGGCUACUGUGAGCAGUAAACUGAGAUUUCGGAUGUUUAGUAAUGAUUUUGCCUCAUUAGUGACCAGUGUAGCAUUCUAGGACUGUUAUUUUCACAUCCACAAAUACGAUUGGGAUUGUUAGCAGAAAGUUGUGUACAUGCCAUCUUGGAAUAAUGCAUAAACGCUCUCAAGUCAGAAUAA